rnacentral:tRNA from 1 species
GUCCUUGUAGUGUAGUGGCCUAUCACAUCUGACUUUCUAUCAGAAAACCGGAGUUCGAUUCUCCGCAGGGACG